ACGGGGUGCAGCAGGCGCGAAAACUCCGCAAUACACGAAAGUGUGACGGGGGGACCCCAAGUGCUCUCGCGCAAGCGAGUGCUUUUGUGAAGUGUAAAUAGCUUUACGAAUAAGAGCUGGGUAAGACCGGUGCCAGCCGCCGCGGUAACACCGGCAGCUCGAGUGGUGAUCAUUAUUAUUGGGCCUAAAGCGUCCGUAGCCUGUUUGAUAAGUCCUUGGGCAAAUCCUGCCGCUUAACGGUAGGAAUUCUGAGGAUACUGUCAGACUUGAGGCCGAGAGAGGUCGGAGGUACUCCUGGGGUAGCGGUGAAAUGCUAUAAUCCUAGGGGGACCACCAGUGGCGAAAGCGUCCGACCAGAGCGGGCCUGACGGUAAGGGACGAAAGCCAGGGGCGCGAACGGGAUUAGAUACCCCGGUAGUCCUGGCCGUAAACGCUGUGGGCUAGGUGUUGCAUGCUCUACGAGGGCGUGCAGUGCCGAAGAGAAGUUGAUAAGCCUACCGCCUGGGAAGUACUAUCGCAAGAUAGAAACUUAAAGGAAUUGGCGGGGGAGCACCACAAGGGGUGAAGUCUGCGGUUUAAUUGGAUUCAACGCCGGAAAUCUCACUGGAAGCGACGGCAGUAUGAUGGCCAAGCUGAUGACUUUGCUUGACGAGCCGAGAGGAGGUGCAUGGCCGUCGUCAGCUCGUACCGUAAGGCGUCCUGUUAAGUCAGGCAACGAGCGAGACCCGUACCCUUAUUUGUCAGUUAGUCCCCACGGG
rnacentral:rRNA from 1 species